rnacentral:rRNA from 1 species
CUACGAGUUUGAUCCUGGCUCAGAUUGAAUGCUGGCGGCAUGCUUUACACAUGCAAGUCGAACGGUAACAGGGAGCUUGCUCCGCUGACGAGUGGCGAACGGGUGAGUAAUGCAUCGGAACGUACCCAGUCGUGGGGGAUAACGUAGCGAAAGUUACGCUAAUACCGCAUACGUCCUGAGGGAGAAAGCGGGGGACCGUAAGGCCUCGCGCGAUUGGAGCGGCCGAUGUCGGAUUAGCUAGUUGGUAGGGUAAAGGCCUACCAAGGCGACGAUCCGUAGCGGGUCUGAGAGGAUGAUCCGCCACACUGGGACUGAGACACGGCCCAGACUCCUACGGGAGGCAGCAGUGGGGAAUUUUGGACAAUGGGCGAAAGCCUGAUCCAGCCAUGCCGCGUGAGUGAAGAAGGCCUUCGGGUUGUAAAGCUCUUUCAGCCGGAAAGAAAUCGCGCAGGAUAAUACUCUGCGUGGAUGACGGUACCGGAAGAAGAAGCACCGGCUAACUACGUG